UUCAUUUUCUUGAAAAGACAAAUAAAAUCGACAAAUCUUUAGCUAGAUGAAGAAAAUUCAUAAAGAAAAUUACAAAUGAAAGAGAAGACAUUACAACCGAUACCAUAGAAAUCCAAAGGAUCAUGAGAUGCUAUGAACAAUGACAUGCUGACAAUUUGUAUAACCUCAAGGAAAGUCCUAGAAACAUACAACUUACUAAGAUCAAAUCAUGAAGACAUAGAAAAUCUGAACAGAUUAAUAAUGAGGAUGAAGAUUGUAUCAGUAAUCAAAAACCUCCCAACAAAGGAUAUCUAGGGCCUGAUGACUUCACAGUGAGCUUCAUAAUUCCUCAUUUAUAGAAGGACUUGUUUUUAUUGGCAAAAAACAGAACGCAGUGCUGAUUUACAGCUUCAACUGAAUUGAACGUUAUGGCAUGCAAGGAGUUUUUAAAAGAGUGAAACAAGUGGAAGUCUGAUGGCACAAGAUCAGAUGAUCGUGAAUGUACGAUUGGUGAGUGACAUCAUUGUAUUUAUGGAGUCUGAAGACAAGAUACCUUUAUUUUGGACUACACAAUUUUUAAGUGAUGUGACUUUUCUGGAAGAACUUCAUACUGAGACUUCUAGAAGCUUGUAGUGAAGUGCUGAGGGGACAGCAACAGAAGAAGUAAACUGACCAAAAAGCUGGUAUAGAAGACUAUGCAACACCAACAGAAUCACUGUUGACUUGUAUGUAAUGAGUUCGCUUAAGUGAUGGCCGUUUAACGAACUCACCAGAUUAACUGAUACAACCUCCAUUCCCUCUGUGAAGUGUUACCCUAACCGGCUUAACACACAAGUGGGCAUUCUCAGAGUGCAUCUUCCUCCUACUAGCCGCGUGGUCUGCUCGCCCAUAGGCCGUUUGUUUGUUUCUAGACAUCUUUAUCAAGGUUGCAGUGGAACUUCUGUAGUUUAAUUCGAAAUUAUGUACAGGCUGUUCUGCUAGGAUGACAACCAACUCGCGGCCGAUCCC